ACAAAUCUCAGCUCAGUUGGUGGAACAUGAGACUCUCAAUCCCAGGGUCAUGAGUUCGAGCCCCAGGUUGGGUGAA